rnacentral:tRNA from 1 species
GCCCUCGUAGCUCAGUGGAUAGAGCACUUGCUUGCGGAGCAAGGGGUCGCGUGUUCGAGUCACGCCGAGGGCG